UGGGUUGGUAGAAAAGAGAACCAAGUAAUGGGGGGGGGGGAGAUGAAAGAUCAAGAGGCGUUGUUUUAGAGUUAGAGCCGUGACUGACCAUAUGCUUGUUUUGCAGUUAUUUCCAAAAAUAGAUGAUUAGUGGUGAGAAGCAACUGGUUUCUGAUGCUUAUAAGGGGGUCAGUUAAUAUUAUUUCCAACUGUUGGGGUAAGAUACAGGGUAGGCUGUGUACCUAACAGAAAGAGAUUGCUAAACUUCACAGUGCAUUGGAUCAGAUUUCAUGGAGCUCUUUACUGCCUCGACAAAGCUGUUGCCAAAUUUCUCAAACCUUUAAUAUUUCCUGGAAAAGAGAAGAGGUUGAGGGGGCUCUGUUUUCAGGGGAAGAACACCUCGCUGUACCAUAUUACCUAUAAUCGACACCAAGAGAGUCGCAGGAGGAUGGAGGCAUGUGGAUGGCAGAGAACAUCCCUGGAGGUUCAGCUUGUUAAAGGCAGCAUCGACUUGAUCGAUAACUGAUGGGAAGGAGUGUAUUAAUAGCUCUGCUCCGUCACCGCUCAGGUGGCACGAGCCCGAGGUGCAUUUUCUACACUGGCUCCCAGUGAUGGCAGCAGGAUUAAGCUCUAAUUGUCUGCAGCGAUGACUCGCUUGAUAACAAACCUGUCAUUGGCUGUCUUCCCUUUGCCCUCUCACUUCCUUGAAAACUCCCCUGAUGGUGUUUCUCGAGAUUUCCUCUCAAAU